UACAGGGGGUGCAAACGUUGCUCGGAAUUAUUGGGCGUAAAGCGCGCGUAGGCGGCUACUUAUGUCGGAUGUGAAAGCCCUUGGCUCAACUGAGGAAGUGCACCCGAAACUGAGUAGCUGGAGUACGAAAGAGGGUCGCGGAAUUCCCGGUGUAGAGGUGAAAUUCGUAGAUAUCGGGAGGAACACCGGUGGCGAAGGCGGCGACCUGGGUCGAUACUGACGCUGAGGAGCGAAAGCAUGGGGAGCAAACAGG
rnacentral:rRNA from 1 species